rnacentral:snRNA from 1 species
AUCACUUCUCGGCCUUUUGCCUAAGAUCAAGUGUA